rnacentral:rRNA from 1 species
AUACGGAAGGUCCGGGCGUUAUCCGGAUUUAUUGGGUUUAAAGGGAGCGCAGGCGGAGAUGCAAGCGUGACGUCAAAUUUCGGGGCUCAACCCCAUUCUGCCGUUGAUACUGGGUGGCUUGAUUGCGGUCGAGGUUGGCGGAAUUCGUUGUGUAGCGGUGAAAUGCAUAGAUAUGACGAAGAACACCGAUUGCGUAGGCAGCUGACCAGACCGCAAAUGACGCUCAUGCACGAAAGUGCGGGGAUCGAACAGGAUUAGAUACCCUGGUAGUCCGCACAGUAAACGAUGAAUACUUGUUUUCGGCGAUAUAAUGUCGGAGGCAAAGCGAAAGCGAUAAGUAUUCCACCUGGGGAGUGCGCCGGCAACGGUGAAACUCAAAUGAAUUGGCGGGG